CUCAGAAACUUAAAGGAAGUUGACGGGGCCCGGCACAAGCGGAGGAGCAUGUGGUUUAAUUCGAUGAUACGCGAGGAACCUUACCUGGGCUCGAACGUAAGAUGACUGUAGGUGAAAGCUUACAUCUCUUCGGAGCAUUUUACGAGGUGCUGCAUGGUUGUCGUCAGCUCGUGCCGUGAGGUGUCGGGUUAAGUCCCAUAACGAGCGCAACCCCUACCUUUAGUUGCCAUCAGGUUAAGCUGGGGACUCUAAAGGAACUGCCUACGCAAGUAGUGAGGAAGGCGGGGAUGACGUCAAAUCAGCACGGCCCUUACGUCCAGGGCUACACACGUGCUACAAUGGCCGAUACAGAGGGCAGCUACCUGGUGACAGGAUGCAAAUCUCCAAAGUCGGUCUCAGUUCGGAUCGGAGUCUGCAACCCGACUCCGUGAAGUUGGAUUCGCUAGUAAUCGCGCAUCAGCCAUGGCGCGGUGAAUACGUUCCCGGGCCUU
rnacentral:rRNA from 1 species